GGACCAGUGCCCCGAGCGGCAAAGGGAGCGGCCUCUUAAGCCGUGGCUUCACAGCUUCGUCGGUUCGAGUCCGACCUGGUCUACCA
rnacentral:tRNA from 1 species